AUUGGCUCUGCUUUGGAAUUCAUUGCGCUUGAACCAAUGUUGCUGAAAAGUAUGGAAGAAGAGAAACUCCGGUUAAUUCGUCAUGAGGAACUGGUAGCUAAGGCGUAUCAUGAUUUUAUGGUUGGACCCGACAAAGAAUGAAUGAAUCCUGAAGAACAGAGUUUGUAUCUUAUUUCUACUCGUUAUUCUGUGUACAACAAAUAAAAACUAUGAUUGCUGUUCACUACACAAUUGAGAUUGAACUUGUCUCUGAUUGUGAUCUCUUGUCAAUGUUAUGAAUUUCGCUUUUGAUGCUGGAUUGGUCAUUCUUUUUCUUG